rnacentral:lncRNA from 1 species
CUCAGCCUUUUAUUCAUGCACUGUACAUCUUUUUUUUCCUUUACUUUAACGGACUCUAUCUCUCCCUUCCUCCUAGAUGGCCCGAGCUAUAUUUUGUAAAUAUUACAUUUUGCUUAAGUAAACAUCUUUGGUGGCUUCGAGUCUCCCUUAUCAUCAAAAAGGAAAAAGAAAAAUCUUCUAGGCUUAAAUUAUUGUAUGGACACUAUACGUAUUUUAGUUGUUAAUAAGCUAUGACAAUUUGAUGAAUAGCCUACUUAUAAUAU